rnacentral:rRNA from 1 species
UACAGAGACUGCAAGCGUUAUUCGGAUUCACUGGGCGUAAAGGGUGCGUAGGUGGCUUGACAAGUUUGAUGUGAAAUCUCCGGGCUUAACCCGGAAAAUGCAUUGAAUACUGUAGAGGCUUGAGGUUUGGAGGGGGGAUUGGAAUUCUCGGUGUAGCAGUGAAAUGCGUAGAUAUCGAGAGGAACACCAGUGGCGAAGGCGAGUCCCUGGACAACACCUGACACUGAGGCACGAAAGCCGGGGGAGCAAACAGG